CAGAAGUGAACUGCAUUUAAUAUAGUCUCUUAACUGGCACCAGUUUCAGAACCAGGGAUGCAGAAAUCUUGAGUAAGUGUGCUACUGGCAGUUAGUAGGCAUCUAGUAGGAUUGUGUUAUUUAGUUAUUCUUGACACUUGUUGAGAUGACAAUUUCUUGGUGCUUUUACUGAGUGGUGCAAGUACUUUCCCAGAACAUGCUUGGAGAUUGAUCCUACCCCAAGCCCCUGUUCACCUGGACAAACCUAGGAUGUAGUAGGGAAACAAUUAAUUGAAUGCAAUUUAUAAGCAUCUUUCUUUAUCCUGGAGAUAACUGACUUACACACUGAAAUAUCUGCAGAAUUUGAGGAAAGAGCACCAAACUUUGAAUCCCUGUGGAAGGACCCCUAUAGCUCUAAGCAAGAUGAAGCCUUCCUCUUGCACCCAUACUGUUCAGGGAAUCUCAGCACAUAGCAUUGUGGCAUCCAUGGUUUUCUGAGGGUGAUUCCUAAGAAAUCACUGGAACCAGAAGAUCCUGAAAUGUGGAGUCAAAAUGGGACAAGGUGAAAAACUGUCAAUCAGUUAAUAAGAAGGUACUUAUGCACAACAGAUAAGCUGAAGAUCCACUGCAUUUACAAUAACUUGUUUGUCCAUUUCUAACCUACUGUCCAUCCAAAUGAAACAUUGAAUACAUCACAAACUCAAAAAACACGUGACGUAGUGACACUGGCUCUCAGUCACAGGGUUUCUGACAGGAGCAAAACACGGGGUAUGGAUUGUAGUUGAGGUCUCAGCAGCUUCAUAUGUUUUAAAAGCCAGUUCUCAUACAAGUGGCUCAAAGGCUCAAGUACUUCAAGCAAAGCAUUUAAAACUUACAUAUGGGCUGCAUCCUCAGAGUAAUAAUAACUGAUAAUUAGUUCCAAGGAAGCAAUUUAAACAAAUGCAUAGAAAAAGACUGUAUUUUUCAAAAAGCAUCACAUGUUAAUCGCUUCUUCCAAGGCUGAACAUUUUCA
ensembl:lncRNA